CAAGUGCGAGGGCAUAUAGUCCUCGCUUUUGUGUAUCGUAAGGUGGUACACGAAUAAGAGCUGGGCAAGACCGGUGCCAGCCGCCGCGGUAAUACCGGCAGCUCAAGUGAUGGCCAAUAUUAUUGGGCCUAAAGCGUCCGUAGCCGGCCGAACAGGUCCGUCGGGAAAUCUGCUCGCUCAACGAGCAGGCGUCCGACGGAAACCAGUCGGCUUGGGACCGGAAGACCCGAGGGGUACGUCUAGGGUAGGAGUGAAAUCCUGUAAUCCUAGACGGACCGCCGGUGGCGAAAGCGCCUCGGGAGAACGGAUCCGACGGUGAGGGACGAAAGCUAGGGUCACGAACCGGAUUAGAUACCCGGGUAGUCCUAGCUGUAAACGAUGCUCGCUAGGUGUGGCACAGGCUACGAGCCUGUGUUGUGCCGUAGGGAAGCCGAGAAGCGAGCCGCCUGGGAAGUACGUCCGCAAGGAUGAAACUUAAAGGAAUUGGCGGGGGAGCAC
rnacentral:rRNA from 1 species